rnacentral:tRNA from 1 species
CCCUGAUAGUUCAGUUGGUAAAGAAUCUGCCUGCAAUGCAGGAGACCCUGGUUUGAUUCCUGGAUCGGGAA